CUUAGUAGAUGGGUUUUUCUUCCAUUGAUUUUUCUAAUUGUUUUUGGAACAUGUAAGCCUGUAACAAUCCACAGCAUGCCAUGGUGGAUGGAAGUUACUACUGGGAAUGAAGAAGGAGAAUGACAUUUGUUUGACAGUAAAGAUUAAUUGGAAAAUGAACUGCGUAAUGGAUGUUUGUGGAGGAAUAACUAACAUAAUGGAAUAUUUUGGCUAUUUCAGCAGGCCGAGUGUGCUGCAGGGCCAGAAGGGCAGCUGUUCAUCUGGUGCACAUUUCCAGCGCAACGGCUCCAGCAGGAACAUUCGCACCUCCAGCCAACGCGAUUGGCAUCGAUGGCUGCCAGCAGGAUCUGGGAGAUUUCCGCUCCUUCGUGCACCUAUCGUAUGACAACACUUGAAUUGUAUACCAAAAGCUGUACUUUCCAUCAUCACCAGAGUCAAAAUUGCAUCGACGGGGAGGACACAUAGGUAUAAACUUUGAGAGCAGUGAAGUGUAAGAAUGAAUAAAAACAACCAACAUUAUUGCCUGCUCCAGCCCACAAACAUGGUCUGACUACUACACACAGUGGAAGAUAUUUAUAUACUGGUGCA